rnacentral:tRNA from 1 species
GGUCUUAUAUUCAAAAAAUGAUUUUAAAUUGCAAAUUUAAAGGUGGGUCAGCCCUAAGGCUU